ACAGAUCCAAGAGGAAGGGCCACAGAGCAGCUGCCAGCCAGAAGGAGGCCCACACAGAGCUGGAGGACGAGAGAGAUCUGCUCGAGAGGCUGAAACAGAUAAAACAGCUGAAGGAAGAUUUGGAGAAUCAAAAUGGAAACACGUUGCAGAAACAGGUUGAUGCUCUGAAGGAGAUCUCUAGAGACGAAUGACUAAAGCUGAGAGGAGCUGAAGAAAGAGUUUCAGACUCAUGUCCAGUUAAAGAAAGAUAUAGGAAUUCAAAAAAGGUGCCAUGAAGCCAUCAAGAACCUCCGCUGCC